rnacentral:rRNA from 1 species
GAUGAACGCUGGCGGCGUGCCUAAUACAUGCAAGUCGAGCGAACAGACGAGGAGCUUGCUCCUCUGACGUUAGCGGCGGACGGGUGAGUAACACGUGGAUAACCUACCUAUAAGACUGGGAUAACUUCGGGAAACCGGAGCUAAUACCGGAUAAUAUAUUGAACCGCAUGGUUCAAUAGUGAAAGACGGUUUUGCUGCCACUUAUAGAUGGAUCCGCGCCGCAUUAGCUAGUUGGUAAGGUAACGGCUUACCAAGGCAACGAUGCGUAGCCGACCUGAGAGGGUGAUCGGCCACACUGGAACUGAGACACGGUCCAGACUCCUACGGGAGGCAGCAGUAGGGAAUCUUCCGCAAUGGGCGAAAGCUUGACGGAGCAACGCCGCGUGAGUGAUGAAGGUCUUCGGAUCGUAAAGCUCUGUUAUUAGGGAAGAACAAAUGUGUAAGUAACUAUGCACGUCUUGACGGUACCUAAUCAGAAAGCCCCGGCUAACUACGUG